CGGAGUGGCGGACGGGUGAGUAAUGUCUGGGAAACUGCCCGAUGGAGGGGGAUAACUACUGGAAACGGUAGCUAAUACCGCAUAACGUCGCAAGACCAAAGAGGGGGACCUUAGGGCCUCUUGCCAUCGGAUGUGCCCAGAUGGGAUUAGCUAGUAGGUGGGGUAAAGGCUCACCUAGGCGACGAUCCCUAGCUGGUCUGAGAGGAUGACCAGCCACACUGGAACUGAGACACGGUCCAG
rnacentral:rRNA from 1 species